AGAGUUUGAUCCUGGCUCAGGACGAACGCUGGCGGCGUGCUUAACACAUGCAAGUCGAACGAUGAACCAUUUCGGUGGGGAUUAGUGGCGAACGGGUGAGUAACACGUGGGCAAUCUGCCCUGCACUCUGGGACAAGCCCUGGAAACGGGGUCUAAUACCGGAUGACACUUCGGACUGCAUGGUCUGUGGUUGAAAGCUCCGGCGGUGCAGGAUGAGCCCGCGGCCUAUCAGCUUGUUGGUGAGGUAGUGGCUCACCAAGGCGACGACGGGUAGCCGGCCUGAGAGGGCGACCGGCCACACUGGGACUGAGACACGGCCCAGACUCCUACGGGAGGCAGCAGUGGGGAAUAUUGCACAAUGGGCGAAAGCCUGAUGCAGCGACGCCGCGUGAGGGAUGACGGCCUUCGGGUUGUAAACCUCUUUCAGCAGGGAAGAAGCGCAAGUGACGGUACCUGCAGAAGAAGCGCCGGCUAACUACGUGCCAGCAGCCGCGGUAAUACGUAGGGCGCAAGCGUUGUCCGGAAUUAUUGGGCGUAAAGAGCUCGUAGGCGGUCUGUCGCGUCGGAUGUGAAAGCCCGGGGCUUAACCCCGGGUCUGCAUUCGAUACGGGCAGACUAGAGUGUGGUAGGGGAGAUCGGAAUUCCUGGUGUAGCGGUGAAAUGCGCAGAUAUCAGGAGGAACACCGGUGGCGAAGGCGGAUCUCUGGGCCAUUACUGACGCUGAGGAGCGAAAGCGUGGGGAGCGAACAGGAUUAGAUACCCUGGUAGUCCACGCCGUAAACGGUGGGAACUAGGUGUUGGCGACAUUCCACGUCGUCGGUGCCGCAGCUAACGCAUUAAGUCCCCGCCUGGGGAGUACGGCCGCAAGGCUAAAACUCAAAGGAAUUGACGG
rnacentral:rRNA from 1 species